UCCAGAUGGGGAGACAUUACCGAACAGCUUCUACGAUGUAAAGCAGUUAAAUAAGGAUCUUGGUUUGACAUACCAAAAAAUUGAUGCGUGUCCGAAUGAUUGUAUGCUAUACUGGAAAGAAUCUAUACUUGAUGAUUCUUGUAAGCAUUGUGGGCAAAGUAGGUACCAAAAACAAGAUGUUGAGGAGAAUGGUGAUACCAGAAAAGUCCCGGCUAAAGUGCUUAGAUACUUUCCACUAACACCUAGAUUGCAGCGCUUAUAUUUGUCAAGGUAUACAGCCGAUCACAUGUCGUGGCAUGCAAAGGACUAAUGGCUGUGGACCAAGGUUUGUUUCCAAUUGAUGUACAAGAUUGGCGACGUUUGAACAUGGAACAACACUAGGCAAUGCAUGGAAACGAAUCAAGAGGACAAUUGAUUGGUCUGAUCCGGAAAUGAGAAAAAAGGCACCCAAAAUACGGGCCGUGGCUGAGUAGAAACUCAAUCAACUUUGGAAGAAACACAAGGCCAAUCUAAAAAAGAAUUGGUAUGAUCCUUUUUUGAAUUCAGAGGAGCGAUGGAAUUGCACUGAUGACAAGGUUAGCAAAGAACAGUGGAGGUUAUUGGUGCAAUAUUGGGAGACUGGUCCAGCGCAGAAACGAUCGAUCACAAAUAAAUGUAAUCGUGCGAAGCGCAGGAUGCACCACACAACGGGGACAAAAUCAUAUGCCCAAGUGAGGAACCAAUAUAAGGUGAAUCACAGGGGUGUCUCCCCUGACUGAUGCAAAAUGUUUGAACUAUGCCACCUAAGAAAGAAUGGAACACCUGUGAAUGAGACAGCUGCAAAAGCUAUGAUGAGGCUGAAUUUGAUUGUAUUUUAGGAUUUGUUGUCUUGUGCUGUUUGUUAAAGAGGCAUCCAUGUAAUAGAAUGCACAGUUAACAUAUUGUUAAUGUAUGACUUUUGUAAUUUUCUUUUGGUUACCCUUGACAACUUUGUAAUAGGAUGUGUAUU